rnacentral:tRNA from 1 species
GCAGUGGUGGCUUAGUGGUAGAAUUCCUGCCUUCCGUGUGGGAGACCUGGAUUCGAAUCCCAGCCAAUGUA